rnacentral:tRNA from 1 species
UGCUUGGGUAGCUCAGUUGGUAGAGCACUUGCCCGUGAAAGGCAAAGGUCCCGAGUUCGAGUCUCGGUCCGGCAU